rnacentral:rRNA from 1 species
UAUAAAAUGAUUCAUUUAUUAUAAUUAUAAAUAUAAGAAAUUUAAUUUUUUUUAAGUAUAGCAAUAGAAAUAUUAAAUAUUAAAAAGUAAGUAUAU